CCUACGGGAGGCAGCAGUGAGGAAUAUUGGUCAAUGGGCGCGAGCCUGAACCAGCCAAGUCGCGUGAGGGAAGACGGUCCUAUGGAUUGUAAACCUCUUUUGUCGGGGAGCAAAAGACGCCACGCGUUGCGUUCCGAGAGUACCCGAAGAAAAAGCAUCGGCUAACUCCGUGCCAGCAGCCGCGGUAAUACGGAGGAUGCGAGCGUUAUCCGGAUUUAUUGGGGUUAAAGGGUGCGCAGGCGGAAGAUCAAGGCAGCGGUAAAAUUGAGAGGCUCAACCUCUUAGAGCCGUUGAAACUGGUGUUCUUGAGUGAGCGAGAAGUAUGCGGAAUGCGUGGUGUAGCGGUGAAAUGCAUAGAUAUCACGCAGAACUCCGAUUGCGAAGGCAGCAUACCGGCGCUCAACUGACGCUCAUGCACGAAAGUGUGGGUAUCGAACAGGAUUAGAUACCCGAGUAGUC
rnacentral:rRNA from 1 species